rnacentral:rRNA from 1 species
CUGCUGCCUCCCGUAGGAGUCUGGGCCGUGUCUCAGUCCCAGUGUGGGGGGCCUUCCUCUCAGAACCCCUACGCAUCGUCGCCACGGUGGGCCGUCACCCCGCCGUCUAGCUAAUGCGCCGCAUGCCCAUCCGCCACCGGAUCGCUCCUUUGGUCACCGGAGGAUGCCCUCCGGUGGCGUCACGGGGUAUUAGGCCGCGUUUCCGCGGGUUAUCCCCCUGUGGCGGCCAGGUUGCAUACGUGUUACUCACCCGUGCGCCGGUCGCCGGCGGG